AUGCAAGUCGGACGAGAAAGCCGGGGCAACCUGGUGAGUAAAGUGGCGUACGGGUGAGUAACACGUGGGUAAUCUACCCUUUAGUGGGGAAUAACGCUGGGAAACCGGCGCUAAUACCGCAUAAUCCCGGGAGGGGAAAGCAGCAAUGCUCUGAAGGAGGAGCCCGCGGCCGAUUAGCUGGUUGGUAGGAUAACGGCCUACCAAGGCUGAGAUCGGUAGCCGGCCUGAGAGGGCACACGGCCACACUGGCACUGAAACACGGGCCAGACUCCUACGGGAGGCAGCAGUGGGGAAUCUUGCACAAUGGGGGAAACCCUGAUGCAGCGACGCCGCGUGAGCGAUGAAGCCCUUCGGGGUGUAAAGCUCUUUCGGCAGGGAAGAUGAUGACGGUACCUGCAGAAGCAGCUGCGGCUAACUACGUGCCAGCAGCCGCGGUAAUACGUAGGCAGCGAGCGUUGUUCGGAGUUACUGGGCGUAAAGGGUGUGUAGGCGGCUUUCUAAGUUUGGUGUGAAAUCUCCCGGCUCAACCGGGAGGGUGCGCCGAAAACUGGGGAGCUAGAGUGCGGGAAGGGAGAGUGGAAUUCCUGGUGUAGCGGUGAAAUGCGUAGAUAUCAGGAGGAACACCGGUGGUGCAGACGGCUCUCUGGACCGUAACUGACGCUGAGACACGAAAGCGUG
rnacentral:rRNA from 1 species